GAGGCCCAGGGACAAUUUUGGAAAGAUAAGGGAAUAUGAGCUACGCUCCAUUCAUCGGGAUAUGUAUGUGUGGUGUGUUGAAGAGUGUUAGCUAUAUGCUUCACUUAUGGGACAUGUUCGACUCUUUGAGUCAUUAUGGCGCGAUGCAGAUUCGCAUAUCUGAUAAUAGUUGCGUUCCCGGUAUGAGCGGUGUGGCCUUCAAGGAAUUAAUCCAAGUCAUUCUUUUAUUUGUUAUAAUAGGUGUAUUUGGUUUAUUUGUUAUAUGGGACUUUAAGGCAAUGUGGUAGAUUUUAUUUCGGUUUUGCUAAGUUAAUUCUUAGGUUGUUUACAUGUUAUUUAUGCGUAGAAGUAUGUAGACUUGAAUAUAAUAUUGGGACUACUAUUUUGGAUAUUUUGAUUUUUCUUAAACUAGGUGAAUGAAGCAUGAUGUUUAGGGAUUAA